rnacentral:miRNA from 1 species
CUUAUAUAUUAGGACAGAGGG